rnacentral:rRNA from 1 species
UACGGAGGAUGCGAGCGUUAUCCUGAUUUAUUGGGUUUAAAGGGUGCACAGGCGGAAUUUUAAGUCAGCGGUGAAAUUUCGGGGCUCAACCCCGGGCGUGCCGUUGAAACUGAGGUUCUUGAGUACAGUGAAAGCAAGCGGAAUUUGUGGUGUAGCGGUGAAAUGCAUAGAUAUUACACAGAACACCGAUUGCGAAGGCAUCUCACAAAGCCGUUAUUGACGCUGAGGCACGAAAGUGUGGGGAUCAAACAGGAUUAGAUACCCUGGUA